rnacentral:rRNA from 1 species
CCUACGGGAGGCAGCAGUGGGGAAUAUUGCACAAUGGGGGAAACCCUGAUGCAGCGACGCCGCGUGAGUGAAGAAGUAUUUCGGUACGUAAAGCUCUAUCAGCAGGGAAGAAAAUGACGGUACCUGACUAAGAAGCGCCGGACAAUUCCGUGCCAGCAGGCGCCGUAAUAAGUCGGGGGCAAGAGUUAUGCGGAUUGACUGGGGGUAAAGGGAACGUAGACGGCGGGGCAAGGCGGGAGUGAAAUGCCAUGGCUUAACCAUGGAACUGCUUUGGAAACUGUGCAGCUGGAGUGCAGGAGAGGUAAGCUGAAUUCCUGGUGUAGCGGUGAAAUGCGUAGAUAUUAGGAGGAACACCAGUGGCGAAGGCGGCUUACUGGACUGUAACUGACGUUGAGGCUCGAAAGCGUGGGGAGCAAACAGGAUUAGAUACCCGUGUAGUC